rnacentral:misc_RNA from 1 species
UGGUUAGAGCGCGCGCUUGAUAAGCGUGAGGUCGGAGGUUCAAGUCCUCCCAGGCCCACCAGUUACACGAUGCUAAAAGUUGCUAUAUUGGGAGAGUUGAUAAUCCCUUACAGGAAAUUAUUGCCCUUAAUAAAACUUUAUUUUCUAAAAGCAUUCAGAGCUGACAUAGAAUAGAGCUGACAUAGAAUUGAGAAUCUGACAUAGGAAUUAUUGAAAUUGUUUUGGAAUUAUUGAAAUUGUUUUCUAUCAUUUUAAAAGGCUAAAAUAUUCUGUCUCUAUUUUUAAAAUAGCAUCAGGUGUUUUGUAAGAGUGUGAAGUUUUUAAGUGUGAGGUUUUUUAUAUU